UCUUAUGGAUGAGCAAAGGCAGUAGUUUCCUGAGGUGGAAGCUUCUCCUGGUGACGAUGCGGUGAA
rnacentral:pre_miRNA from 1 species